rnacentral:rRNA from 1 species
UACGUAGGUGGCAAGCGUUGUCCGGAUUUAUUGGGUUUAAAGGGUGCGUAGGCGGACAGGUAAGUCAGUGGUGAAAUCUCCGAGCUUAACUCGGAAACUGCCUUUGAUACUCUCUGUCUUGAAUAUGGUGGAGGUAAGCGGAAUAUGUCAUGUAGCGGUGAAAUGCUUAGAGAUGACAUAGAACACCUAUGCGAAGGCAGCUUACUACGCCUAUAUUGACGCUGAGGCACGAAAGCGUGGGAUCAAACAGG